ACCCCGAUAGCAUAGGGGUAAGUAUCUCCGCCUGUUACGUGGAAGGCCCGCGUUCGAUUCCCGGUCGAGGUG
rfam:Schistosoma rodhaini strain Burundi genome assembly, scaffold: SROB_scaffold0007998